UACAGAGGGUGCGAGCGUUAAUCGGAAUUACUGGGCGUAAAGCGCGCGUAGGCGGCUUUGCAAGUCGAGUGUGAAAUCCCUGGGCUCAACCUAGGAACUGCAUUCGAAACUGGUCACCUAGAGUGAUGGAGAGGAAAGCGGAAUUCCCGGUGUAGAGGUGAAAUUCGUAGAUAUCGGGAGGAACACCAGUGGCGAAGGCGGCUUUCUGGACAUUUACUGACGGCUGAGACGCGAAAGCGUGGGGAGCAAACAGG
rnacentral:rRNA from 1 species